CUCACAACCAGAGACCAGCCUGUGUUGCCAGUCCUGCUGGUGACUCUUGAGUCUCAAAGACCUCUUGUGGGAUCAUGAGACACCAAGAACUUGCAAGCAGCAUGCAAGACACUAAGAUGCUGAAGGAGUUGGUACAGUGCUCAAAGUGCGGAAGUCCCUGUCUCUGAGGGAAGAGAGGAAUUUUCUGAACACAGCAGCACUGCCCAGGCAAUGCAUUCUGGCAGGUGUCACCCACAUCACCUAUGUGAUGCUGCAACAUCUAAUAAAAUCCCAGUGUCCAAGA
rnacentral:lncRNA from 1 species